rnacentral:tRNA from 1 species
GAGGUGUUAGUAAACCCAUUACAUGGUCUUGUCAAGACCAAAUCACAAGUAAAACUCUUGUACACCUCA